rnacentral:rRNA from 1 species
GUGUCAGCAGCCGCGGUAAUACGUAGGUGGCAAGCGUUGUCCGGAAUUACUGGGCGUAAAGGGCGUGUAGGCGGGGCGGCAAGUCAGGUGUGAAAUCCCGGGGCUUAACUCCGGAGCUGCAUCUGAAACUGCUGUUCUUGAGUGCUGGAGAGGAAAGUGGAAUUCCCAGUGUAGCGGUGAAAUGCGUAGAGAUUGGGAGGAACACCAGUGGCGAAGGCGGCUUUCUGGACAGUAACUGACGCUGAGGCGCGAAAGCGUGGGGAGCAAACAGGAUUAGAUACCCUGGUAGUCCACGCCGUAAACGAUGGAUACUAGGUGUAGGAGGUAUCGACCCCUUCUGUGCCGGAGUUAACACAAUAAGUAUCCCGCCUGGGGAGUACGGCCGCAAGGCUGAAACUCAAAUGAAUUGGCGG